rnacentral:rRNA from 1 species
UUUCAGAGAUGGAUUGGUGCCUUCGGGAACAUUGAGACAGGUGCUGCAUGGNUGUCGUCANCUCGUGUCGUGAGAUGUUGGGUUAAGUCCCGUAACGAGCGCAACCCUUGUCCUUAGUUACCAGNACGUAAUGGUGGGCACUCUNAGGAGACUGCCGGUNACAAACCGGANGAAGGUGGGGAUGACNUCGAGUNAUCAUGGCCCUUACGGNCUGGGGGUACACACGUGCUACAAUGGUCGGUACANAGGGUUGCCAAGCCGCGAGGUGGAGCUAAUCCCAUAUAACCGAUCGUAGUCCGGAUCGCAGUCUGCAACUCGACUGCGUGAAGUCCGAAUCGCNCGUUNCUCGCUAAUCAAAAUGUCGCGGUUAAUACGUUCCCGGGUCUUGUACACACCGAA